rnacentral:rRNA from 1 species
UACGUAGGGUGCAAGCGUUGUCCGGAAUUAUUGGGCGUAAAGAGCUCGUAGGCGGUUUGUUGCGUCGGCUGUGAAAUCCCGAGGCUCAACCUCGGGUCUGCAGUCGAUACGAGCAAACUAGAGUGUUGCAGGGGAGACUGGAAUUCCUGGUGUAGCGGUGAAAUGCGCAGAUAUCAGGAGGAACACCGGUGGCGAAGGCGGGUCUCUGGGCAACAACUGACGCUGGAGGAG